rnacentral:rRNA from 1 species
GACGGAGGGUGCUAGCGUUGUUCGGAAUGACUGGGCGUAAAGCGCGUGUAGGCGGCUAUGCAAGUCGGAUGUGAAAGCCCCCGGCUCAACUGGGGAGGGUCAUUCGAUACUGAUCGACUCGAAGGCAGGAGAGGGUAGUGGAAUUCCCGGUGUAGUGGUGAAAUGCGUAGAUAUCGGGAGGAACACCAGUGGCGAAGGCGACUACCUGGCCUGUUCUUGACGCUGAGGCGCGAAAGCUAGGGGAGCAAACGGGG